rnacentral:piRNA from 1 species
UCACUAUGUAGCCCUGACUAGCCUGGAAAC